GGCGGAGCCAAGCGAACUCGUUUACAUUUCAGAAGAUUGUCUUGGGGUUCGUCCAAUAAUCGCUUCAGACACAGCUGAGACCUGGUUGUGGCCAUGCCCAUGCUCAUCUGGGAUUGGAGGAGAGGAGUGACAUCAUCAGGUGUUACAGUGGAAAAAUGGAUUCUUCAUGUUAACACAACCUGCACUUCAGCCGAAAACUUCAGGAAUUUUAGUCACAUGACUGGUGGUCGCCGCUGAGUCGCUGAUGACUUUUCUGUUUCACCAAAGAGCGCAGAAUUUGUUGUUUUUCGCAGAAUCUGUCAAGAGCAAUUCAUUUCUUUUCAGUAAAAUGUUGAAUGAGACACGUAGAAUAAAGUGAUUCUGGAAUUUUUGGAUUUUACCGAACUACGUCAUAGAAAGUUGAAAGAAUGUCGUAAAACUGAAAUUCUAAUGAUUAUUUUCCUGUUUUUACGGUUUCUUGUUCUGAGAAAUGCUUUAUUUUGGCCAUUUUAUUGAUCUGCUUUUUUUAAAAAGACAACAUCCAUUUCAAACCCGACAGCAGGUUUUUGGAGUUCAGAGGGUAAAAUGACAAACUGAAUGUCAGAAUAGUUUCACUUUCCCUCAUAUAAGAAACUCCCUUUAGUAAGAGUUUUUCAGCUACUUUAAAUACAAUCUUUGUGCUGUUUUAAUUUUAGUUUGAGCUCCAGAGCCUAAAUAAACUGUCACUAAUACACGCUAAAACCCAGAUUAGUUUUUGUUUAUUUACUCUUAAUCCUUCAAACCCAUUUUAUCUGUAAUUAUUGCCUGAUCUAGGGCUGUUUUCUGUUUUACGUUCACUCAGGCUGCUGUAAUCCUGCAUUGAAGUUUAAAUCAGUUUGUGUUUGAAGGCAGUUCAUCACAUCUGACUCUUGUUUGUUCACUUUUUACAGAGCUUUCUGCUACAUUACAGGGUUUUUAUCACAUCGGAUCAGCAGAAACACAGACAAAAAGACCGAAAAAUCAAGUAAGAGGACGUUGAGUUGGAUCAUUUUGAUGUUUUCUGACCUGAACUUUUUGAAACUUUGCUCUAAAAACAAGCUGAGAUUUGUUUUCAGGGACGUUCUGCUGCUUUAACCUUCACAUUUCAGAGGAAAAUACUGAACAUUUUCCUGUAUCUGACUGACUUUUAAACACCGUAAAGUAGAAUUUACAUAAACUACUAAAAAAGUUUCCUCUUGAAGAGGCUGCGGACACUUUACUGAUCCUCAGUGGAGAAAUUCACCUGUUACAGCAGCUGGAUAACAAUAAAAUAAAAUACAAACCAAGGAAAAAGUGCAAAAAUAGAGCAAUAAUUAAAAUAACAAAGACUUCUACAUGCACAUAUUUGGCAUACAUGAGGAUUGUACACAUAAUUAACAAGACUUUUGCUUUAAAAAAGUAAAAACAAUUAGUAUUUUCUCUUUUUUAAACAUAUAUAUACACACACACAUACAUAUAUAUACAUAUAAAUAUAUAUAUAUACAUAUAUAUAAAUACAUAUAUACAUAUAUAUAAAAUCUAUAUACCAUGUACACAGUCAGUGCAGUAAAGUGAGCACAUUCACAGGAGAAUUGCAUCAGAAGUGAGGACGUUUUUGUCAUAAUAAAACUGAAAGUAAAAUCUCAUCUCAGGAGCAAUUUUAAUCCACAUUACAUGAACUUUAUUGUCAAUGCUUCAUGUUGUUUUUACUUUAAUUGAGGCAUAAAUCAGACAGAAAAUGAUUUAUUAUGAAUAAUUUAACAAGAUUCUGCCUUUACUGUAACUUUAUUAUCAAUUAUUUUUAAAUUACUGAUAAUAAAAUACAGAAAAUAUCUUGUUAAUUUACUGUCAUAUUUGAAUUAUAUUAGAAAUGUCAUUUCAGCUGCUGUGAAAUAAGAGUUUUAUGUAUUUGGAGCUUUAAAUUUUCACAUUUUUUAGCAAAAUCUCAAGUAUUCUAUCACUUUUAGUUAUUCUUAUGGUUUCAUAUUUUAAUAUUACAGAACAGUUAAAUCCUGUAUUUGAGCAUUUAUAUUGAUAUUAUUAUUUAUAUAAUUUUUUUGCUCAAAUCCAUGUUUAAUCUACCAUAUUAUCCAUGCAAACAUUAAAAAUAUGCAGUUUUUCUAUGUAUCUUAUUCUAAGAAACUACAAAAUGAUAUUUUUACUGCAAAAAAUACGACUUGAACACGUUAGAAGAACUAAAGUGACUUUAAAUUGCAUUCUUUUCCUGAUUAAAUUUAAAUAUUUUACAGUUUAAUUCUGUAUCUGUGCAUUUUUAUUAACAUAAUUGUUAUUAUUACAUAUUUAUAUUUGUUGUUUUUUUGCUCAAAUUCAUGUUUAAUCCUCCAUGUGAUCCAUGUAACCAUUAAAAAUAUGCAGUUUUUUCAUGCAUAUUAUUGUAAGAAACUACAGAAUUAUUUUUUACUGAAAAAAUACAACUAACGCGAUAGAAGAACUAAAAUAACUUUAAAUAGCACUUUUAUCUGAUUAAACUUCAAUAUUUUACAGUGAAAAGCUUGCAUUUGUAUUUAUAUUAUCAUUCAUUCAUAUUUGUUGUUUUUUUUGUUCAAAUUUAUGCAUAAUCCUCCAUGUAACUCAUGAAAACAGUAGAAAUCUGCAGUUUUUAUGUGUUCUAAAAAUAAAUGAUCUAUAAUUUAUAUUUACUGUGACAAUACGACUUUAGCACACUUUAGAAGAACUAAAAUGACUUUAAAUAGCAUUUUUCCUGAUUAAACUUAGCAAAAUUCUAUAUUUACAAAUUUAUAUCUAUAUUUUUUUAUUAUUGUUACAUAUUUAUUGGGUUUUUUUUUGCUGAAAUUCAUGUUUAAUCCUCCAAGUGAUCCAUACAAGCAGUAAAAAAAAAAUUAUAUUAUCAUAAGUAACUACAGAAUGUUAUUUUUGACUGAAAAAAUAUGACUUUGACACACAGUAGAAGAACCAAAAUGACUUUAAAUCCUUUUUAAAUGACUUUAAAUGGCCCUUUUAUCUGGUUAAACUUUAUAUUUUACAGUUAAAUUCUGUAUUUGUGCGCUUAUCUUAGUUUCUAAGUGGGUUUUUGCAGCUUGAGUGGAGAUUCUUACCUUCACUUUAAACAAAGUGCAGCUCAACUGGAAACCAGCACAAGUGGUUAGGAAAGAACACCAGCAGCUGGUUACUUGUACUGGGAGCAGAAGCAGAAGGUUCCUUGUGCUACUGGGAGCAUCAGCAGUGGUUUCCUGGUGUUACUGGGAGCAGCAGCAGUGGUUUCCUGGUGUUAGUGGUCUUACUGGGAGCUCUGACGUCUUUGUCUCUUAUUGUCUGAGUUGCGCAACGUGUCGUCAGUCAGCUGUUGAGCUUCUUCUUCUUUGGUCCGAAUUAAAACUGAGAAUAAAAGUCAAACUGCGGAGUGAAAAAAGAAAAUAAAAUAAAAAAGUCCAAACGAAACUUGUUUCUGGUUCUGGUGUGUUUAGAUCCGGAUCACGGGGAACAAAAGACCGACAUACCGGCUCCCUCCGGUCCGUCUGAGAUGCGCUCUGCUCGCCUGGAAGCGGCUCCGGGGCGUCGGUGCGGGUUCAGGUUGAGCUUCCGGUGUCGGCGCGUCCCGGUGCAGGGCAGGACUCGGAGCCGGACUCGGGUCGGGAGCGUGGACUCGGUGUGAGGACACGGACCGACCCUGGGUCUGUUUGUUUGGCUGUCUCCGCCCGCCGUGACGUCAGCGGCGGGGCGGGGCUUCGAUGUUGCAACUCUGAGCCGAUCAGUCGUCAGAAAGCACACGUGAGGUCACGUUACGGGGAAAUGUAAUCAGAUUACUCAGUACAUCUGGGUCAGAGUACAGGUUUCCUCUGGGACCAGCUGGAUGUUUGUCUGCAGCAACUUUAGUGUGUUUUUAAUCAAAUAAUGCAAAGUUUUACUGAUUUUAUUUUACUUUUCCAUCAUUUGUGAGCCUCAGAACUUCAUCAGUUCAGCAGAUAGACUCAUGAUAUCUGAGCUCUGUUAAAAACUGUAAACAAAUCAAUUUUUGACCUACUUUCAGCGUUAAUAUUAUGGGAUGUAUCCUAGUUUCAACAGGAAAACUGCAGCAGACUCCCAGAAACACUCACUGGUAUCCUGGAUGUGUUUCUGUUGUCUGGUAAUUCAUUUUUAAAAAGUGUUAGUUUAAAUUUAGUUUAAACACAAGACGUUUGUGUUUAAACUUCAACAGAUUAUGUUUUUUUUUUAUCUGCAUUAAGUUUAGAUUAUUUAAUGAAGCCAUGUAAAGUUCUACCUUCAUACUAUGAAUAUUUUCAGACUAACACACCCUUAAAGUACAUAGACGUGGGUCCAAAUUUUACACUUUUUAGUACUUUCUUCAUCAUUUCUGAGCCUCAGACCUUCAUCAAUUCAGCAUAUAGACGCAUGAGGUUUUCAAGGCUGAAAAACACAUUAAAGUUCUGUCAAAAACUGCAACCAAAUCAGCUCUGACCAGCAAUGAGCAUUAAAAUUAUGGAAUGUAUCAUAGUUUGCACAGUCAAACUGCAAGUCUAGAAACAAUCAUUGGUAACCUGGAUGUGUUUCUGUUUUCAGAUAAUUCACUUUAAAAAAGCGCAUUUUGUUGAAACUUUCACAAUUUUUAAAACAUCUACAACAACUCUGUUAUAUUUAGUGAAGCGACACAAAGAUUUAUCUUCAUUCUAUGAAUAUUUUCAGAGUUAAAGACCCUAGAAGUCCACAGAGGUGGGUCCAAAUUUUGCUCUUUUCAAGUCUUUUUCCAUUAUUUCUAAGCCUCAUAACUUCAUCAGUUCAGCAGAUAGACACAAAAUUUGAGUUCUGUUAAAAAACUGCAACUAAAUUAAUAUUUGACCUACUUUGAGCUUUAAUAUUAUGGGAUGUAUCAUAGUUAGAACAAUAAAACUGGAGCAGUUUAAUGUCUGAGUCCUAGAAACAAUCAUUGGUAUCCUGGAUGUGUUUCUGUUUCUGAUAAUUCACCAGAGAAAACUUAAAAAAUUGUCAAAACGAUCAAAAUAUAGGUUUAAAAACUGAUCCUUUUAUUGUCUCUAACUUGUUCUGACCAAUCGCCUAUCACACAUGCUGAUAUGAGCCUUGAAAGUUUACCCAGAAUGUACUUUUUUCCACCAAACUUGGCCAAAAAGGCUCAAAAAUUGCGCAAAAUGAGUCAAAAGAUGUCCAAAAUACCCGAAAAAUGAUCUGAAACGUCUCUUUAAUUACUCACUUCUUGCACAAAAUGACCCAAAAUUGUCAAGUGGUCAAAAUGUAGAUUUGAAAAAUGAUCCUUUCAUUGUCUCUAACUUGUUCUGACCAACCACCUACCACACAUGAUGAUAUGAGCCUUGAAAUUUUACCCAGAAUGCACUUUUUUAAAGUUUUCUCAGGUGAAUUAUCAGAAAACAGAAACACAUCUAAUUUUAGAUUGUGACACAUGGAGUGGAGUUAUUGGAGACAUAACAUUUGUGGAUGAUUUUGUCCUCUUUGGUGUUAAUCCCCUUAAAAAGCUCCUCCUGCAGCCUUUAUCUCAGUUAUUCCAGGACGUUAUGUGGAGGAGAAGCAGCAAGUGUUGAUUGUCUAUUUUAAAACUACUGUGACAGCUCUGUGAUGUCGGCUGCUGUAAGAUUUAAUUUUACACAAAAGCAGCUGCUUGUGCAAUAUAUGUAUAUAUAUAGUUGGUGGAAUAUAUAUUUAUUACUCAUAAUUCCUCAGGAUAGACUACAACCUGUAACACAUGAGAUGUAUUCAGCAUUACUUUAUCAACAGGCUGCCUGUAUAAUGAAAGAAAUUCAUUCUUUAUCUUAAAAUUUGUCCAAAAAUAACCUAAAACUGUCCAGAUUGACUCAAAAAUUGCCUUAAAUAGCUUGAAAAUUGCCCCAAAAUUUGUUCCAAGUGACAAUUCUGAGCCAUUAUGGACAUUUCUGAGUUCAAUUUUGAUACCCACAAGUCUUACCAAUAAAAAUAGAGGCUCCACAUAUUAUAGAUAUUUAACUAUUGACAUGUUUACAACCUCUACCAGCUUUUUUAGAAAGAUGUUUCACCAUGCUGAAUGUAUCUUCCAACAACAUGCUCCUCUGUUCGCUGUUUUUGAACCAAGCUGCAUUUAUUUUAUUGAUCCAGUAGGUUUUGGUUUAGGUCUGAAAUUGUCCAAAAAUGAUCUGAACCUUGUCCAAAGUCAUUUAAAAUUGACAACAAUACUCAAAAUGUGUCCAUAACAACCUAAAACUGUCCUGAUUGAGUCAAUAAUUGUCUAAAUUAACUUGAAACCUGUCCGAAAUUUCUUGAAAAUUACCCAAAAUGACUGAAAAGACAUUUCUGAGUCUAAUUUGAAUCUGAACCAUUUUUGAACUGUUUCAGUUAUUUUUGGACUCAUUUUGAAAAAAUAUUUCAUUGUUUACAGGUUUCCAGCCUCUACAAUUUUUUCCUCUCUACUCUGCUCAUCAGCUGUAGAAAGAUGUUUCACCAUGAUGAAUGUAUCUUCCAACAGCUUGCUCUUCUGUUCACUGUUUCUGAGCCAUGCUGCAUUUAUUUUAUUCAUCCAGUCAGUUUGAUUUUCCUCUCUGCUCUGUGGAAACACUGCCUGCAGUUCAACCUGCAAAUCCUCAGAAUUUUUGUCACCUGAUUGUUGAUUGUAGCUGAGUCACUGAUGACUUCAUAAAUGCACCGAGGAGCUCUGAAUUUUGUAUUUUUUGCAAAAUCUAGUUUGAACAAAUGCUUCAUUCUUUGAGAUUUUUUAAACGAGGUUUGUAGAAUAAAAUGAUUUGAUGAUGUGUCAAUAUAUCAGUGACACCAUCAGCACAUCGUUAGCAUCAACUACAUCAGAAAUAGCUGGUUGAAGGAAACUUGAAAAGUUAAAAAUCUGAGGAUUCUGUCUGUUUUACACUUUCUGGCUCAUAAAUUUAGUAAUUAAUGUAUAUUCGAUAAAUAUUCAUGUUUUUCUUCUAAUCAAAGGUCUUUUAUUUGUGUUGUGGUGUCAAAUGACUGCUUUAAAUAUGAAGAAGACAACAAAAAGUUUGAUUAUUGGUCAUGAAAUCAUUGAAUAUGUGUCUUUAUUAAGAGUAAAAUAUGAGAUAGGUAAAUAUCGUCAUCGAUGUGCAUUCACCAGUGAAUUUGUGGCAGAGAUCAGAGUAAAACAAACCUGAUGUGCAAAUUUUUUCCCUUUAAAAUGGAAAGUAGCAGCUUGUGAGUACACACCUCAACAGACACAAAGACAUAAACAACAGUUCAUCUGUUUGAAUACAAAAAUAUGAAGGUUUUAAGUUGGCUUUUGGUGGAACUUGUUCUCAAACGUUGGGAUGUUCGUUCCACAGAACUGACUGAUAUUCUGAGUGGCUGAGCUCCAGAAUAGGUUUGGUUUUGUGGACAACUAGAAGGAUUUUUGCUGAAUUCUGUAUGUUGAGAUGCUGUUUUUUUUUAAGUGUACAGAGGAUUUAACAUGUCAGAUGUUCUUUCAGUCCAUCAGUUGCUGAAAUUACAUCAGUCAUGUUCUGCUGAGAGUCACAAUCAGUGGAUUCACUCAACUCUGGAGAACUUUACAGGAAAAGUUGGACAAAUAAAACAGGAGACCUGCUUUCACUCCGCCCCCUCCUGGCUACAGGUGACUGACCUGAAGUGACCCUGCAGGUUCAGCUGUUAAACUCACUGUUUAUUCCUAAAAACUGGUAAAAAUGUUUUGGCUCUUUGUGGAUUUUUAAAGUUUGCUGGUGGGAUAAAGACUUAUUCUCACCACUUACAUAAA